rnacentral:rRNA from 1 species
AUUGAACGCUGACGGCAUGCCUUACACAUGCAAGUCGAACGGCAGCACGGGUGCUUGCACCUGGUGGCGAGUGGCGAACGGGUGAGUAAUACAUCGGAACAUGUCCUGUAGUGGGGGAUAGCCCGGCGAAAGCCGGAUUAAUACCGCAUACGAUCUACGGAUGAAAGCGGGGGACUUUCGGGCCUCGCGCUAUAGGGUUGGCCGAUGGCUGAUUAGCUAGUUGGUGGGGUAAAGGCCUACCAAGGCGACGAUCAGUAGCUGGUCUGAGAGGACGACCAGCCACACUGGGACUGAGACACGGCCCAGACUCCUACGGGAGGCAGCAGUGGGGAAUUUUGGACAAUGGGCGAAAGCCUGAUCCAGCAAUGCCGCGUGUGUGAAGAAGGCCUUCGGGUUGUAAAGCACUUUUGUCCGGAAAGAAAUCCUUGGCCCUAAUACGGUCGGGGGAUGACGUUACCGGAAGAAUAAGCACCGGCUAACUACGUG